rnacentral:misc_RNA from 1 species
AGCAGCCGCGGUAAUUCCAGCUCCAAUAGCGUAUAUUAAAGUUGCUGCAGUUAAAAAGCUCGUAGUUGAAUUUCGGGAUCAAUAUGUCGGUCGUGCCUCGGUACGUACUGGCUUAUUGGUUUCUCCUUUCUGAAGAACCAUGAUGUCAUUUAUUUGGUGUCGUGGGGAAUCAGGACUGUUACUUUGAAAAAAAUUAGAGUGUUUAAAGCAGGCUCACGCUUGAAUACAUUAGCAUGGAAUAAUGAAAUAGGACGUUUGAUUCUAUUUUGUUGGUUUCUAGGAUCGACGUAAUGAUUAAUAGGGAUAGUUGGGGGCAUUAGUAUUCAAUUGUCAGAGGUGAAAUUCUUGGAUUUAUUGAAGACUAACUACUGCGAAAGCAUUUGCCAAGGAUGUUUUCAUUAAUCAAGAACGAAAGUUAGGGGAUCGAAGACGAUCAGAUACCGUCGUAGUCUUAACCAUAAAUUAUGCCGACUAGGGAUCGGAUGAUGUUAAUUUUUUAAUGACUCAUUCGGCGCCUUAC